rnacentral:rRNA from 1 species
UACGUAGGGUGCGAGCGUUAAUCGGAAUUACUGGGCGUAAAGCGUGCGUAGGCGGUCCCGCAAGUCCGCUGUGAAAGCCCCGGGCUUAACCUGGGAAUUGCAGUGGAAACUAUGGGACUUGAAUCCGGCAGAGGGGGGUGGAAUGCCACGUGUAGCAGUGAAAUGCGUAGAGAUGUGGCGGAACACCGAUGGCGAAGGCAGCCCCUGGGCCGAGAUUGACGCUCAGGCACGAAAGCGUGGGAGCAAACAGG